rnacentral:rRNA from 1 species
AGAAUUCGAUAAUCCUCCAUAGUAUUUCUAUGCAUCAUUGAAAUUAGAGCUCGGCGGUAUAAGAUGGGCAUGCGUCCUAUUAGCUAGAUGGUAAGGUAAUGGCUUACCAUGGCAACGAUAGGUAGGGGGCCUGAGAGGGUGAUCCCCNNCACUGGUACUGAGACACGGACCAGACUCCUACGGGAGGCAGCAGUGAGGAAUAUUGGUCAAUGGGCGCAAGCCUGAACCAGCCAUGCNGCGNGCAGGAAGAAUGCCCUAUGGGUUGUAAACUGCUUUUAUUUAGGAAUAAACCCCUCUACGUGUAGAGGGNUGAAGGUACUAAACGAAUAAGC